CGAGGAACAAUUGGAGGGCAAGUCUGGUGCCAGCAGCCCCGGUAAUUCCAGCUCCAAUAGCGUAUAUUAAAGUUGUUGCAGUUAAAAAGCUCGUAGUUGAAUUUCGGGGUCGGUAGGUUGGUCAUGCCAUCGGUAUGCACUGGUCUCACCGAUUCCUCCCUCUUGUAGAAGCGUAAUGCCAUUAAUUUGGUGUUGCGGGGAAACAGGACUGUUACUUUGAAAAAAUUAGAGUGUUUAAAGCAGGCUAACGCCUGAAUACAUUAGCAUGGAAUAAUGAAAUAGGA
rnacentral:rRNA from 1 species